rnacentral:lncRNA from 1 species
ACCAGGAAAGAUUUAGGAAGGGACAGAGGACAUUGCAUUUAUCUGGGUCCAGAUCCCACCUCUGUCUCUGUGUGGAUGCUUGGGAUGUCGAGGCAUGUUGCUUCCCCCUCUGAUCCUGCUUCCUCACCUGAGAAGCUGAGAUGAACACUUGUAGGAAUAUCAAACAUUUAUGAAUGUUUGAAGGUGACCAGGUUGAGAGGUAACCACUGGGGGCUACCCAGAGUGGCUGCCACUCACCCAAAGAGGGGCCAGUCUUCCUCCAGAAAGACUAUUCUUACCAUCGGUACAUAUAAACCACCAUCAUGUCUGGUAUUCCCUUCGUGGGUAACACCUUCCCAAAACACACCAUCCAACCCAAAUGCCUCAGCUGCCCUGGUCACCCCUAUUGUUCCGUCUGUCCAAGCCGGAAGGAUCGGAGCAAAUCAUCCAACAAGACUCAUGGGAAGCCCCCUGAGAAACACAGCAGCAGCUCCAAGGCUGAAACUACUGCCAAGGACGCCGCCACCGAGUGUGCCCUGAAACCAGCCUGCCGGGGUCGCCCUCACUGCAUGCUCUGCAUGGACCGUCCUGAAAACCCCUCCUUCUUGGACUGCAUCAUCGAAGGCAUAGAUUACCUGGACCGCUCCCCAGCAAGUCCAGCAGCAAGUCCGGCGGCAAGUCCAAAUCCAAAGCGGAGGAGGCUCGGGGCGGCGCCUCGAGUAAAAAGUCACCCACCACCAGCCCCUCCAAGACCAGCCAGGACCAAGGCCAGCAGAACCCUAGCUCCACCUCUCUGCAAUGCCGCCCCGACAGCAAGGGCAGCCUCUCCUGGUAAAAUUAGUUCCAACUAGGAGACUUGUUUUCUCCCUGCAAAAUAAAGCAUUUUUAGCAAGGCA